rnacentral:misc_RNA from 1 species
AAUUCACCAGUUACCCUGCCAAAGUGCAUGUAAUGGAUUCAUCAGCAAUUGUUUCAUGAAGGUCAUAGAGCAACAAUGACAAACCACGACAAGUCCAAUAUAUAUAUAAGAAUGAAACCAAUAAUAUGUACAUUAGCUGGAUAAAUUACACCAUUGAUUGAUCUAAGCCUUACACUGGUUUUCAAUUUCAUAAGAGAACUUCAAAUUUUGUCAAUUUUAGACUUUUUGAUUAGUUACAGUUUAUCCGUCCUCGCCAAAAUCUUACCAAUGGACACUGGAAAUCUAAAAGGCAUCCAACUUGGACUGUUUUAAUCUUAUUAAUCAUAUGUGGAGCCCCUAAAAUGAGAAAUUAUAUAAUAUCCUUGUGAUUCCAUGUCUGAUGGUUUGUGUGAUGGCAAAUCAACAGUAAAUAAACAUAUGUAUGUGCGUGGAUCCCAAAAUUUGUUCCUGUGUCAAUUUGUAAUUGGCUUGCCUAUAAUUGAUUUUCAAGAAACUUGACUGAAGUAAAUCCUUUGAACACAAAAAGAUCCCAAAAACACAUUUUGAGGAAAUCUUACUCAGUGAGUUCUGGAUUUUCA